rnacentral:rRNA from 1 species
GUGCAGCAGUCGCGAAACCUCCGCAAUACACGAAAGUGUGACGGGGCCAUCCCGAGUGCCGUCCGCUGAGGACGGCUUUUCCCCAGUGUACAUAGCUGGGGGAAUAAGGAGAGGGCAAGCCUGGUGUCAGCCGCCGCGGUAAUACCAGCUCUCCGAGUGGUGGGGACGCUUAUUGGGCCUAAAGCAUCCGUAGCCGGCUAGGCAAGUCCUCCGUUAAAUCCAACGAUUCAAUCGUUGGGCUGCGGGGGAUACUGUCCAGCUUAGGGGCGGGAGAGGCCGACGGUAUUCCCGGGGUAGGGGU